GACGAACGCUGGCGGCGUGCUUAACACAUGCAAGUCGAGCGGUAAGGCCCUUCGGGGUACGACGAGCGGCGAACGGGUGAGUAACACGUGGGUGACCUGCCUCUAGCUCUGGGAUAAGCCUGGGAAACUGGGUCUAAUACCGGAUAUGACUCCACGGCGCAUGUUGUGGGGUGGAAAGCCUUGUGUGGCUAGAGAUGGGCCCGCGGCCUAUCAGCUUGUUGGUGGGGUGAUGGCCACCAAGGCGACGACGGGUAGCCGGCCUGAGAGGGCGACCGGCCACACUGGGACUGAGACACGGCCCAGACUCCUACGGGAGGCAGCAGUGGGGAAUCUUGCGCAAUGGGCGAAAGCCUGACGCAGCGACGCCGCGUGAGGGAUGACGGCCUGGUGUAACGUACUUC
rnacentral:rRNA from 1 species